UGGUGGCUGGUAGUGGUGGUGGCCGCAUACUGGAGCUCCUGCAUCUCUUGGCUCUUUUCAGCAUCUUCUGGGUCUUCGUUUGGACUGCUGUAGACUUAUGGCAUGAACAGAUUGAUGGCCCCAGAAUCAAAUGGACCAAAAUCCAGCGUGCAUUGAUUGCAAUCUCAAGAUGUAUUAGGAGAGCAGGGAAGGGCAGAUACCAGAAGAGGAGGAGGAGGAGGAG